rnacentral:SRP_RNA from 1 species
GCCGGGUGCAGUUGCGUUCUCACAUGCCUGCAGUCCCAGCUACUUGGGAGGCUGAGACUAGAGGAUCACUUGAGUCCAGGAGUUCUGGGCUGUACUGUGCUGCACCGAUUGGGUGUUCGCACUAAGUUCGGCAUCAAUAUGGUGACCUCCCGGGAGCGGGGGACCACCAGGUUGCCUAAGGAGGGGUGAACCAGCCCAGGUCAGAAACGGAGCAGGUCAAAACUCCUGUGCUGAUCAGUAGUGGGAUCAUGCCUGUGAAUAGCCACUGCAAGCCAGAAGCCUGGGCAACAUUAAAAACAAA